CCCUUAGAUGUUCUGGGCUGCACGCGCGCUACACUGACGGAGCCAGCGAGCGUGUCCUUCGCCGAAAGGUGCGGGUAAUCUUGGCAGCCUCCGUCGUGCUGGGGAUAGAUGGUUGCAAUUAUUGAUCUUGAACGGGGAAUUCCUAGUAAGCGCGAGUCACCAGCUCGCGUUGAUUACGUCCCUGCCCUUUGUACACACCGCCCGUCGCUACUACCGAUUGGAUGGUCCGGUGAAGCCUCGGGAUUGUGGUUCUUGCCGCUUUAUUGUGGCGUGACCGCGAGAACUUGUCUAAACCUUAUCAUCUAGAGGAAGGUGAAGUCGUAACA
rnacentral:rRNA from 1 species